rnacentral:rRNA from 1 species
ACAGGUGUUGCAUGGCUGUCGUCAGCUCGUGUCGUGAGAUGUUCGGUUAAGUCCGCUAACGAGCGCAACCCUCGCUGUGUGUUAUAUGUGUCACACAGGACUGCUGGUAUUAAGCCGGAGGAAGGUGGGACGACGUCAAGUCAGCAUGACCUUUAUAUCCAGGGCUACACACACGCUACAAUGGUCAGUACAAUGGGUUGCCAAGCCGCGAGGCGGAGCCAAUCCUAAAAAGCUGGCCUCAGUUCAGAUUGCAGUCUGAAACUCGACUGCAUGAAGUCGGAGUUGCUAGUAAACGCAGGUCAGCUAUACUGCGUUGAAUACGUUCCCGGGGCUU